CUACGUGCCRGCAGCCGCGGUAAUACGGAGGGUGCGAGCGUUAAUCGGAAUAACUGGGCGUAAAGGGCACGCAGGCGGUGACUUAAGUGAGGUGUGAAAGCCCCGGGCUUAACCUGGGAAUUGCAUUUCAUACUGGGUCGCUAGAGUACUUUAGGGAGGGGUAGAAUUCCACGUGUAGCGGUGAAAUGCGUAGAGAUGUGGAGGAAUACCGAAGGCGAAGGCAGCCCCUUGGGAAUGUACUGACGCUCAUGUGCGAAAGCGUGGGGAGCAAACAGGAUUAGAUACCCUGGUAGUCUACGCUGUAAACGAUGUCGAUUUGGGGGUUGAGCUUUGAGCUUGGCGCCCGUAGCUAACGUGAUAAAUCGACCGCCUGGGGAGUACGGCCGCAAGGUUAAAACUCAAAUGAAUUGACGGGGGCCCGCACAAGCGGUGGAGCAUGUGGUUUAAUUCGAUGCAACGCGAAGAACCUUACCUACUCUUGACAUCCAGA
rnacentral:rRNA from 1 species